CGCACAUAAGACAUGCAAGUCGAACGGAAGUCGUUGUUAAUGAUUUUGACAUGAACAGAGAACUUGUUCGAAGGAAUUGAAGAUUGACUUACAACAAUGGCUUUAGUGGCGGACUGGUGAGUAACACGUAAGCAACCUGCCUAUUAGAGGGGAAUAACAGCGAGAAAUCGUUGCUAAUACCGCAUAUGCCAUAGUAAUCACAUGAUUAUAGUGGGAAAGGAGUAAUCCGCUAAUAGAUGGGCUUGCGUCUGAUUAGUUAGUUGGUGGGGUAACGGCCUACCAAGACCGCGAUCAGUAGCCGGACUGAGAGGUUCAACGGCCACAUUGGGACUGAGAUACGGCCCAGACUCCUACGGGAGGCAGCAGUCGGGAAUAUUGCGCAAUGGAGGAAACUCUGACGCAGUGACGCCGCGUAUAGGAAGAAGGUUUUCGGAUUGUAAACUAUUGUCUGCAGGGAAGAAAAAAGACUGUACCUGCAAAGAAAGCUCCGGCUAACUACGUG
rnacentral:rRNA from 1 species